UACGUAGGGGGCAAGCGUUGUCCGGAAUCAUUGGGCGUAAAGCGCGUGUAGGCGGUCCGGUAAGUCCGCUGUGAAAGUCGGGGGCUUAACCCUCGGAUGCCGGUGGAUACUGUCGGGCUUGAGUACGGAAGAGGCGAGUGGAAUUCCUGGUGUAGCGGUGAAAUGCGCAGAUAUCCGGAGGAACACCGGUGGCGAAGGCGGCUUCCUGGACCGACACUGACGCUGAGGAGCGAAAGCCAGGGGAGCAAACGGG
rnacentral:rRNA from 1 species